CCUACGGGAGGCAGCAGUGAGGAAUAUUGGUCAAUGGACGCAAGCCUGAACCAGCCAUGCCGCGUGCAGGAAGACGGCUCUAUGAGUUGUAAACUGCUUUUGUACGAGGGUAAACGCAGAUACGCGUAUCUGUCUGAAAGUACUGUACGAAUAAGGAUCGGCGCACUCCGUGCCAGCAGCCGCGGUAAUACGGAGGAUUCAAGCGUUAUCCGGAUUUAUUGGGUUUAAAGGGGGCGUAGGUGGUCGGUUAAGUUAGAGGUGAAAUCCCGAGGCUCAACUUGGGAAUUGCCUCUGAUACUGUUCGGCUAGAGAGUAGUUGCGGUAGGCGGAAUGUAUGGUGUAGCGGUGAAAUGCUUAGAGAUCAUACAGAACACCGAUUGCGAAGGCAGCUUACCAAGCUACUUCUGACGUUGAGGCACGAAAGCGUGGGGAGCAAACAGGAUUAGAUACCCGUGUAGUC
rnacentral:rRNA from 1 species